GAUGAACGCUGGCGGCGUGCCUAAUACAUGCAAGUCGAGCGAACAGACGAGGAGCUUGCUCCUCUGACGUUAGCGGCGGACGGGUGAGUAACACGUGGAUAACCUACCUAUAAGACUGGGAUAACUUCGGGAAACCGGAGCUAAUACCGGAUAAUAUAUUGAACCGCAUGGUUCAAUAGUGAAAGACGGUUUUGCUGUCACUUAUAGAUGGAUCCGCGCCGCAUUAGCUAGUUGGUAAGGUAACGGCUUACCAAGGCGACGAUGCGUAGCCGACCUGAGAGGGUGGUCGGCCACACGGGAGCUGAGACACGGUCCAGACUCCUACGGGAGGCAGCAGUAGGGAAUCUUCCGCAAUGGGCGAGAGCCUGACGGAGCAGCGCCGCGUGAGUGAUGAAGGUCUUCGGAUCGUAAAGCUCUGUUAUUAGGGAAGAACAAAUGUGUAAGUAACUAUGCACGUCUUGACGGUACCUAAUCAGAAAGCCACGGCUAACUACGUG
rnacentral:rRNA from 1 species